rnacentral:lncRNA from 1 species
AGUCGGAUCUAUUGAAUAAAUUAAUCUAUUUAUUAUCUAAAUUUAUUAAUAAUAAUUUUAAAUUUAUUUAAAAUAGAUCAUUCAUGAAUUGGAUUGAUGGCUACUGAUCAUAACUUGUCAAUUCUAUCCCAAAACCGUUGAAAAGUUGUCACGGAGCAAAGCAAGAGCCACCCAUUCAAAGGGAGCGAUCUGCCAAAAAGAAGAAGUGAUUUGAUGAGAUAAGCGAGAGUGCGAGUGGUUGCUGAUUGUGGCUGAAACAUGUCACAUCUAUACAAUCGUGACGCAACGUUACAAGGUUGCCUCCAUCAAAUAACUCAAUAUUGAUAGUCUCAUGAGAAUGAAACGCCGC